CUACGGGAGGCUCCAGUGGGGAAUAUUGGACAAUGGGGGAAACCCUGAUCCAGCAAUGCCGCGUGUGUGAAGAAGGCCUGCGGGUUGUAAAGCACUUUCGGUUGGGAGGACUGCUUCUAGCACUAAUAUUGUUGGAAGUUGACGUUACCUUCAGAAGAAGCACCGGCUAACUCCGUGCCAGCAGCCGCGGUAAUAGGGAGGGUGCAAGCGUUAAUCGGAAUUACUGGGCGUAAAGCGCGCGUAGGCGGCUAGAUCAGUCGGGUGUGAAAGCCCCGGGCUUAACCUGGGAACUGCAUCCGAUACUGGCUAGCUUGAGUACAGGAGAGGAGAGUGGAAUUCCACAUGUAGCGGUGAAAUGCGUAGAUAUGUGGAGGAACACCAAUGGCGAAGGCAGCUCUCUGGCCUGAUACUGACGCUGAGGUGCGAAAGCGUGGGGAGCAAACAGGAUUAGAUACCCGGGUAGUC
rnacentral:rRNA from 1 species